CAUCAUCUUACCAUAGUUGUGUCUCAUGGUGAUUUACUCCAAGGAUUUAUCAGAUAAAGAACUGAAUUUAUGCUGUACAUGACAAUAGACAAAAAGGUGCAGUACAUUUUGUAAAGCAGAGUAAAUCCUAAUCUAGUGCAGUGGUGGUGCACAUUCUGCAAACAUAUCAGUCAUUUCAUGAGUUGACUUUGUUCACUUAAUAAAUAAACAGUUCAGAGUCCGGUCUAUUCAAGGGUGGAUGUGGAUUUACUGUAAACCACAUGACAAACUCUCACAAGGCGUUGACUGUCCAUAAAGCAGACGCCACUUGGUGCUUUCAGUUUCAUUCUGAGAGUGCAGCAAUGGAUCCAGCAGAGAUAAGAAGAAGAGAAGAAUUUCUGAAACGUCAACAAGAUUUCAAAGAGAAUGCCUUCAAGAUCAUCCACACCAUGCUGGACUGGUGUAACAUUACACCAAGAAGCAAGCAUUUGGUGGAUGAGAUUCUUCACAGCAUCUUCUUUCUGGGAAAAAUCAAUCAAGUGCCCUUUUCCCCAGAAGAAAUUAUCCCUGAUGAGCAGAUGUUGAGCGGCUUGAGGGAGAAAUAUCCCAGACCUUUUGAAUUCUAUCUGACACAGCUUCCCAGGCGGAGUCCAUUCUCCUGUGUGAUGGACAUGAUUGUCAUGCAGAAACAACCUGAGAAUGAAAACCAAAUAAUGCAGAGUCUGAGAGAUUUCAUCACCGCCCUGAAACCAGACUUUCUGGUCUCCUCCACCAUCUGCGUCUCCCAGAAAUCCAACAAUUCAGUCAGGCACUACGGAGUGUCCAUGUCCACUUCUGGUCGAGAUGCAAGGAGCAUAGUGAUUGGUGCCUCAUGCCUUAGUGCCUGGGAUGAGUAUGUAGCUGGUGCAGUGAUGACCUACUAUGUAAAGAACCCUAAUAAGAAAUACUUUGAUUUCACCAUCAAAAUACCUGACGAUGUCAGGUGUGAGGCUUUUAGCCUCAAAGAUGGAGGAAAAAUGAAGCCUUGCAGAUCAUGUGGUAACAUGUUUGGCUUGAACACAGAUGUGGCAAGGGAGUGGCCCUAUGGCAACUGUGCUGAAGUUGAGAGUUUGAGCAACUUACUGAAAAAUGAAAUAGAAGUUAAAGAGCAAUCACAACCAAAAUCUGACACAUGGACACCUCAGAACAUAAAGAGAGCCAGAGAAAAUGUUCUUAAGAAACUUAAGGAUAUCUUACACAAUAUCUCCUUCAAUACAUGGGAUGGUCAUUUCUAUGUCCCUCAAGCAGAAUAGUCUUGAAGAGGGCAGAUAAUGUCAUCUGUUAUCAUCCAUGAAAGUCCACUGUUACACCAUGUAAUCAUAGAAUUAACACAGCAUGAUUUAUCAUCUCCUCAUACUAACAGUCAAGAAUAUAUUAAUCUCAAUCAUCACUAGCUUGUCAAAAUUUUGAAUGCAGAACAUGUAAAAUAUGUGUAAAACAUGUUAACAAUAAAACCAAAGUGUCACCUGAAUCAAAGUCAGUGCUUUAUUUUGAGGCCUUAGUGCCUGUGUCACACAUGAUCAGAUUUGAAUAGGACAGUAAUUUCUAAACCCUACAAAAAAUUGAAUUAUUGGAUAUUGUAAUCUUAUGGGUAUCAUUCAUCUGGUUCUCGCGUUGUAGCAUAGUUAUUUAUCAGUAAAGAUCUGCAAGAACAUCUCCAUUACUAUUAUCAGGCAGCAAAGCUUUUUGUGGACUUCAUAAAAUCAGAACUUUCAGUACAUGAGGUUUUAUAAGUACAAACUUCUGAUGCUUCAAGUACUUGAGAUACAUCUGUGUGCGUACUGAGAACAGAGAUGUAAAUGCAUUCAU
ensembl:lncRNA